rnacentral:rRNA from 1 species
GAGGUGAAGACCGGGCGUCAACCCCGGAACUGCCUUUGAAACUAGGUAACUAGAAUCCUGGAGAGGUGAGUGGAAUUCCGAGUGUAGAGGUGAAAUUCGUAGAUAUUCGGAAGAACACCAGUGGCGAAGGCGGCUCACUGGACAGGUAUUGACGCUCGAGGUGCGAAAGCGUGGGGACGCAAACAGGAUUAGAUACCCUGGUAG